AGCUCAUGAUAAGGGCAGCUUCUCAAAAGUUCCUUAAAUAUGUCUCAUGCUUCUUGAAGUGUUUCAUCUUCCCUUUGAGAAAAUGCCAGAAUUUUUUGCCUCAACUU